rnacentral:lncRNA from 1 species
GCCUCCUAGGAAUUCUGAUCCAUUCCUUGUAUAUUUGUGGGGUGCUGACUAUUGUGAUGUCACCCUGCCCUGUGGUAUCAUAUUGACUGGGAUGCCACGUUAUCCAACAGGGCAUAAUCCUAGAAUUGUGGAGUUUACUGUCUGGACAGAUUUAUAUCAAACUGAGUUUCCAACAACAGCUUGGAACACAAAACAGCAACAGCAAGAGCAUAAACUUCCCUCCCUCCUGAAGCCAACUUCCCAACUCACUUCUUGCUGCUGUCUCUCUCUUCCCCCAGACAUAACAUUUCCCGGCCCACACUCCCACGAUGCAACAGCAGAAGUAAGAGCAUGUGCUUGGCAGCUACAAUUUGCUAGUCUCCAGGACUGUGUGAAUCCACUCACCUCCCCCACACACCCUGAGUGACAUUAUAAAUACACCCAUGGUAUUGGCAAAAAGACAGAAGGAACAAAGAUGCCACUGUUGUCUUUAAAUAAUGAUAAUUCUUAAGCAUCCUACUAUGAUGGUAGAGACAGCAUUCAGGCCCAACUCUUGUCAUCUGCAGAUCAGCUCAGCCACACUCAAGAAAUUGGCAAGGUCUUUCAGGAGAAAAGAAUUGCGGAAUGCUCAGGAAAUCCAAUCUAAAGCCAUUGUUGAUGCUAUCUGGAGGCUCCAAAGUCUUAGUUUUUCUACCAGAAGAGCACAGUCAUGUCCACCUUCCUACCUCCCAG